UCCUCCGCUAACCGUGGGCUCAGAAACAGCCAACAAAACAUGGGCUCCCUGGAUGCCAAGGCUGCUGCUGGCCUUGAACUUGGGCCCCCUGUGGCGGCGAUCUCGUCCUUGAUGGAUUCUGGGUCUCGGGGACGCUGUUCUUCCGUGGCUACGUCCUGGGUCACAGAGCUUGGGUGAGAAGGACGCUGGGGCCUCGGGACCCCUCCCGCACCGUGUUUUUCGUAGGGAUGGUGUGAGGAUGCAGGGCGGUCCUAAGGGGGAAAGCGCCCAUUCGCACACCUCGGCCGAGAAGGGUGUUCCUUCGAGCCAGUUCCCGAAGUGUCCUCAAGGUGGUGCUGUUGGGACAGGACCCGCUCCUCCAGCCCCUGCGUGGCUUCUGCUCUUUAAGCUUUCAGAAUAAAUUAGCUUUAGGUGCCUACCUCCUCUGCGCUGCAGAAUCCAGCAAAUCUGGUUUAUUUAGAGAUUCGGGUCCAAGAAGCUGUUUUGUUUUAGCACGUCCUCCCCUGGCCCCGGGAACGUAAUGUAAGGCGAUUUGGACCCUCGCUGUUUCUGGACGCAUUUAUUCGGGAGUUACUUUCCGGCCGGUUCUGCAAACCACUGUCGCUGUGCCGCGAGCCGCUGGGGGCACUGUGGGCUGAGGACCAGGCCCCACCUUGCACGCGGCGGCCGCUGGUUUCCGCCUGCAGCGGGGACGCGGUACAACCUGUUCCGCCUCCCACCUCGUGACCCCCGCCAGACUGGUCCUUUUGGGGUGCCCCACAGAAGCCGGAAGCUUCACCCGUCAGGAAGAAUGGCAUGAAGCUUUCAGGAAAGCUGCCAUCACCCGACACUCCUCGACGGCACGGGUUUCGGGUGUUGUGUGAAGUCAGGUAAGCGGCACAUCCGACCUGAUGGGCCCAGGAGCCCAGCAAUCCAGCGCGCCCUCCCCGCCACCAAGGGGUUCCCCUCCCUGCCCACCCCUGCGUGUCCGAUCCACACGGCUGUCCCCAGGCAGACUCCGGCCAGCCUCGCGUGGGCUCAGCCCAAGGAGGGAGCCCCGGGGAGAAGCCAGCCGCAGGAGCCACGUGCACGGGGGAGACGGGGUCCCAAGCACGCGGCCGUAGGGUGACUCGUCUGACGCACUGGAAACGGGGUCUUGUCGAGGAAGGGAGCGGAUCUCUGGGCCCACGGCUCCUCUCCAGACACACGCAGUGGCCUGGACGGCCAGCCUGCCUCAGCCCCAAGUGUGCGCACCGGCCCGGAUCUCUCCUCUUCCUCGGAGCCAGCGGGCUCUCACACACCGUUGCUCACACAAGCUGGGACCCGGUUUGCGAGGCCCAACGUUUCUGUUCAUCCUCACGAGUGUGAGUAAAGGGGACGGCAGGAGCAGGAAAAGAGGUGGUGAGCGAUCUUGUGUGGUAGUGAGUUCCCUGUUAGGAGAGGUGUGCGAGCAGCAGGUGGAUGACCCAUUAUAAUGGAAGAUUCUACAGUGAGCCGUUGUUCGGGACCCCCCCCCCUGAAUUAAUUUUCCAGGAUGAUGUCCAGGCGUGGCUUAAAGCCCGCUUUCUGGCUUGCCUCACCCAGGCCCAGAGAGCAAACGACGGGUGUCCCCGGUGAGUGUGGAGGGACCCCGGCCCAAGCUGCUGCACUGGGGGCUGGUGAGGACGUAGGUGGUGUCGUGGGCUGAAUAACGUCCCCCAGAGACGGCAGUCCUAAUCCCAGAAAACACACACGUGACCUUGGGUGCGAAAAGGGUCUUUGUAGCUGCGAUUAGUCGAGGAUGUGGAGAUUAUCCAGGAUUACCCACAUGGGCCUUAAAUGCAAUUACACGUCUGCUAAUAAACGGGAGACAGAGAUCACACACACACACACACACACACACACACACAGGGAAGACAGAGGCAGAGGGGGGGCAGGGCGGCCACAAGCCCAUCACUGCCUAGAGCCCCAGAGGAGCACGACCGUGUGGACACCUGAUUUCGGCCCAGCAACACCGAUGUCGGACUUCCGACCCCCUGGACUCUGAGACAAUCCAUUUCUGUUGUUUUAAGCGGCCCAGUUUGUGAUUUAGUAGCGUGGCCAGGGCCGGGUGCCCCCACAGGAAUGCUGGUGGCUGGUGGGGGGGGGGGGAGCUCGCAGCCCCACGGAGCUCGGGCGGGGCCAGGGAGGAAACCCGAGCCUCCUCUCCUUCAAAAUCUUUGUGACACUUGAGGUAUCAAGCUUCUGCCAAGGGCGGAGCGGAUGGAUGUUCCGAGCAGGCCCUGCAGGGAGACGCGGCACGGUGGGAGAGCAUCUCGGACGAGGAGCUGACGUCGGUAGGGUCUCCCGGGGUCGAGCCUCCAGUCCCGGCCGAACCGUCUGGAGCAGCCCAGGCUGGAGGGCAGAGGAUGACAGAAGGACUGGGAAGUGAUUCCACUCUCAAUUCGCCCCUCCGUCGGGCAAGAAGACUCACUGGACCGGGGCAGCGGGAAACAGAGGGAGCCACACCUAAGGGGACAGGGACACGCUCCCGCGGGAGAGGACGCAAACCCAGCGUCCCGUGAAGGCGGACACUAGGUCAACGCCGCGGAAAGGAAGACGGGGGAGAGUGCGGCCCACCCGCCACGGGAUGGGCGCAGCCGCCACACGGGUGACAGCCUUGCCGCGCACGAAGUCAGGCCCCGGACGGAGCCCGCGUUGAGCAGCGACUCCGAAACCCUAAGGCCUCUGCCGUUGCCGCCACGCACGCCUGUGUCUCCGCGGAUCCUCCGUGCCGGGCAUGUAUUAUUUAUACGAUACGAAAGUUCUUCUGCGGUGGAAAGAGAUUGGGGUGGGGGUCCGCAAUCGAGAGCACCCCCUUCUAUCCCAGGCUGCAGGAGGAGGCAGCGUGGCGAGGAAUCACCGUACUAUUUACAUAGCCAGCUCCCCACGUGGGCUCUCGGUGGUUCUCCAUCGUGGCCUGUGGCAACUCAUUUCUCCAAGUCACUUCCGAUCAAGGUCACGGGCAGCCCAAGCUGUCUGAGGGUCCCCAGCGGCUGGGAGGUAACUCUGAGCACAAGUCUGCUCCAUUGAGGAAACCAAGCCCCGCUUCCCCUGCACGGUCCCCUUCAUACUGGACCCAGACGUGCCUGCCCCCCUGAGCCUCAGAGACCACAGCGUCGCAGGUCUUUAUUGAGGGAGGAACCGGCAGCAUCCCGCCAGGUGCAACUACGCAACACGUCAUCACGCUCCAGAACAGUCCUGACAUGUCCAUCCAAGGGGUGUUUUCUGGAGCAGCAGUUUUGGAGACUGUGUCUCCGGCCCCAGGGAGCCCGGUUAUGCGCAUUUCCCGGGGGAGAAAGUGCUUUUCGCUGGGUCCCGGAGGUGGGCGCUCUGCAGGGCUGGGACCCAAAUUCUCACAUGGCCCUGAAAUGCGCUGAGAAAAAAAAAAAAAAAAACAACCUGACGGGUGGAUGGAGGGCCGGAUAGACGGGCAGAUGUGGAAAAGCAAACGUGCUAACGGGAAGAAUCUAGAUGUAGGCGUUUGGGUGUUCUCUGGCCAAUUCUUUCAACUUUCCCACGUUUGAAAGUUUUCAGAAUAAAACGUUGGGGAGAAAACA